rnacentral:rRNA from 1 species
UACGUAGGGGGUGAGCGUUGUCCGGAAUCAUUGGGCGUAAAGAGCUCGUAGGCGGCUUGGCAAGUCGGAUGUGAAAACUCCAGGCUCAACCUGGAGCCGCCAUUCGAUACUGCUAUGGCUAGAGUCCGGUAGGGGAGUGUGGAAUUCCCGGUGUAGCGGUGAAAUGCGCAGAUAUCGGGAGGAACACCGAUGGCGAAGGCAGCACUCUGGGCCGGCACUGACGCUGAGGAGCGAAAGCGUGGGGAGCGAACAGG